UUUGUGUGGAAGGGUAGCGGUCAUACAGAAGCAGAAGUUUUUGUGGAAGGAUGACAUCUUUGUUAUACCAGUGUGGAAGAGUGUCAUGAUGCAGAGAGCAAUAACUUACGUAUAAAAUCUUUACUGUAUUUGUGCAGAAGAAUGACGUUAUACAACUUGAACUUGUGUGGAAGUGUGACAAUAACACAGAGAGCAGCGUAUACAUCUGUGGUGCAGCAACAGACGACCUGCGGAAAGUGCGUGCAGUUUUCAAACUCCUCAUUAUCACAAGAUCGAGUGAUAGCAUGAUACAGAACGGAACCACACACAAAACAAAGAGAUCAAUUUUUAUAUACCAAUCAUCAAAAGUUUCAUAUCCAGGCGUUACAUUGCAGAUGGAAACGUUGUUGUUUGUUACGAACCCAUGCGUCCAAAAGUAAUGGGAAUUUAAGCAUCCAAGAACAGAAAAUAAGAUACAUACUGCAAUCACAGAUUUUUUUACGGUUACAAUUGAUUUAUACGCAAUAUAGUUGCAUUUUAUGAAACGCUCUACAGUUACACAUACAAGAAUCCAUGAGGAAAAUUGCAUUGAGAAAUAAACUAGGAAAUGCAGGAGCUUACACACCGAGUCGGACAAUGACCUGAUGUCAAAGCCCCACGUUUCUAAAAUCCAUAGUCGAAUGAGACCAACACACAGAAUUAUCAUAUCUGUCAUAGUCAGUACAAAAAGGAAGACCAUCAGAGGUGUACCCCAGAAUUUCAUCCGAAUAAAAACCAUAACGAUGAGAAUUCCACCGACCAUCCCAAACACAAAUAUAAUUGGAGAAAUAAUCAUCCAUAUGUAAUUAGCAAUUUCACAAAGAUUAUUUCCACAGGGAGCAGAGCUGUUAGACGUUUCAGUCGUACCAUUUCCCUCCAUUACACCGUUAAACCAGAAUCACUUUACGUGACCAAAAGAAGAACAAACAUUUAACUCAAAUAACGUAUUUCAUUCUGCCCUUUAAUCUGUCAAGUUGUGGAUUUGAGGAAAAAAUACUACUUUAUACUAUAAAGAUCAAGGAUAAUGCAGUUUCCAGAUGACAGGGAAGUAAGGCAAUGAAGACAGAAUUUGCUGAUGAUAUGCAUAAGACCACAACUUAACAGUGCUCCGAUGUAAAUUUUUCAAAAGUAGUUUCCGCUGCUUGUUGUCAGGGAUGUGUGUCCCCAUACCAAACCAGAUUGUACAAACCAAUUGCACAUCCUCGCAAGGAAUUCAAGACCAGGAUUGAGGAUAUCAUAGAUAGCUGUUUCUUCAAUGAAAAUAGAACACGAAAAUAUUCAUAUCUUGUGCUCAGUCAUCUAAAAAAAUUACUUUGUUGAACAACUCUUGGAUUCUACGCACAAGUACUCUGACGUUCAUAUUAGAAAGAUGCUGGAGUUCCUCAUUGACAAUAUUUUUGUAGUCUUUGGUGAUCCGGUCUUCCAACAGUUUGGACUUCUCAUGAACAAAAAUUGUGCUCCAUUAUUAGCUGACCUGUUAUUGUAUUCUGAGCCAGAAGUUAUUCAAAAGCUUCUAUUUGAGAAGAAAACAAUAUCUUACUAUGGCCUUCAACUCGACAUAUAGGUUCAUCAACGACGUUGCAUUUAUAAACAAUGCUCAUUUUCAUCCAUAACUCGAAAUAAAAUACACCACAGAAUC